rnacentral:tRNA from 1 species
GCCUGGCUGGCUCAGUCAGUAGAGCUUGUGACUCUCAAUCUCAGGAUUGUGAGUUCAAGCUCCACGUUGGGCA